GUCUAUGGCCAUGCCACCCUGAACAUGCUCGAUCUCGUCUGAUCUCGAAGUUAAGCAGGGUCGGGCCUGGUUAGUAUUUGGAUAAGAGAUCACCUAGGAAUACCGAGUGCUGUAGGCU
rnacentral:rRNA from 1 species